AUUGAACGCUGGCGGCAUGCUUUACACAUGCAAGUCGAACGGUAACAGGCCGCAAGGUGCUGACGAGUGGCGAACGGGCGAGUAAUGCAUCGGAACGUGCCCAGUCGUGGGGGAUAACGCAGCGAAAGCUGCGCUAAUACCGCAUACGAUCUAUGGAUGAAAGCGGGGGACCGUAAGGCCUCGCGCGAUUGGAGCGGCCGAUGUCAGAUUAGGUAGUUGGUGGGGUAAAGGCUCACCAAGCCAACGAUCUGUAGCUGGUCUGAGAGGACGACCAGCCACACUGGGACUGAGACACAGCCAAGACUCCUACGGGAGGCAGCAGUGGGGAAUUUUGGACAAUGGGCGCAAGCCUGAUCCAGCAAUGCCGCGUGCAGGAAGAAGGCCUUCGGGUUGUAAACUGCUUUUGUACGGAACGAAACGGUCCUGGUUAAUACCUGGGGCUAAUGACGGUACCGUAAGAAUAAGCACCGGCUAACUACGUGCCAGCCGCCGCCGUAACAC
rnacentral:rRNA from 1 species